rnacentral:rRNA from 1 species
CCUACGGGUGGCUGCAGUGGGAAAUAUUGCACAAUGGGGGAAACCCUGAUGCAGCAACGCCGCGUGAGCGAUGAAGGCCUUCGGGUCGUAAAGCUCUGUCCUAAGGGAAGAAUACUGACGGUACCUUAGGAGGAAGCCCCGGCUAACUACGUGCCAGCAGCCGCGGUAAAACGUAGGGGGCUAGCGUUAUCCGGAAUUACUGAGCGUAAAGGGUGCGUAGGCGGACCUUCAAGUCAGAGGUGAAAGGCUACGGCUCAACCGUAGUAAGCCUGUGAAACUGUAGGGCUUGAUUGAAGGAGAGGAGAGUGGAGUACACAGUGUAGCGGUGAAAUGCGUAGAUAGUGGAAGGAACACCAGUUGCGAGGUCGGCGCUCUGGACUGUAACUGACGCGGAGGCACGAAAGCGUGGUGAUCGAACAGGAUUAGAUACCCGUGUAUUC